rnacentral:rRNA from 1 species
UACGUAGGUGGCAAGCGUUGUUCGGAAUUAUUGGGCGUAAAGAGCUCGUAGGCGGUUUGUCGCGUCUGCCGUGAAAGUCCGGGGCUCAACUCCGGAUCUGCGGUGGGUACGGGCAGACUAGAGUGAUGUAGGGGAGACUGGAAUUCCUGGUGUAGCGGUGAAAUGCGCAGAUAUCAGGAGGAACACCGAUGGCGAAGGCGGGAUCCUGGGCCAGUACUGACGCUGAGGAGCGAAAGCGUGGGGAGCAAACAGG